AAAGGGCAGCAAACUCGCGAGAGCUAGCAAAUCCCAUAAACCGUGGCUCAGUUCAGAUCGUAGGCUGCAACUCGCCUACGUGAAGUAGGAAUCGCUAGUAAUCGCAGGUCAGCAUACUGCGGUGAAUACGUUCCCGGGCCUUGUACACACCGCCCGUCACACCAUGGAAGUUGGCCAUGCCCGAAGUCGUUACUCCAACCCUUGUGGAGGAGGACGCCGAAGGUGGGGCUAAUGACUGGGGUGAAGUCGUAACAAGGUAGCCGUACCGGAAGGUGCGGCUGGAUCACCUCCUAACAGGGAGACAACAAAAUGUUUAAUAUUAUUAUUUUGUCACCUUAGGUCGAUCGGUAUCUCACGUUCUUAAUUUUUUAAGAAUUUCAUUUCCUAAGUUUUUCUAGGUCACACCCAUUAUUUUUCCUGGGCCAUUAGCUCAGGUGGUUAGAGCGCACCCCUGAUAAGGGUGAGGUCCCUGGUUCAAGUCCAGGAUGGCCCAUAUCUCUAUGUUGGGGGUAUAGCUCAGUUGGUAGAGCGCCUGCUUUGCAAGCAGGAUGUCAGCGGUUCGAGUCCGCUUACCUCCACUGAUUACCACCUCUUCCAUAACUGGUAGAAAGGAAAUGUUUUGAGUUGUGAUCAUUUUUCUGAGCGAAUCUAGCUUCCUAAUGAAAUCAUUAAGAUGCUGGACUCAUUGAAUUAAUUUCAUUGUUUUCAGAGAACCUUGACAACUGCAUAGAUUAUUUUUAAAGACAAUAAGCAUCUUUAAUGAUGCAGAUUUAUUAUUUGUGCGAAUGCAUUAAUAACAAUUCUAUUAAGCUGAUGCUUCAAUUUUUGAAGUUAUUGGUCAAGCUACAAAGGGCUCACGGAGGAUACCUAGGCACACAGAGGCGAUGAAGGACGUGGUUACCUGCGAUAAGUCUCGGGGAGUG
rnacentral:misc_RNA from 1 species